CCAGGAAAUAGGAACUGAGGACACACGUUUCUUUAGCCAGUCGAUCCAGCGAUGGACAGCCUUGUCUGAUGCUGAUGUUCUGUGAAGACAUUUGUGCUCAACAGGACACUGAGCUCUCCCUGAGAGUCCUGGGCCAACUCCCAGAUAUCAGCGCUGCAUUUCUCAACAUUUACUCACCUCAACCCAGAAGUUCCUCUUCUCAGGCAACGAUUACCAACAGUCACUGUGAACCAUUCAGGUCAAGAGUGAAAGAGGCAACAAGAAAAUGCAAAAGAAAAUAGCAUCUGUAAGGUCGGAGAUCAGUUUGUUGUUAUCACCGAGGUUGUCAUAAUGCUUUGAGAAGGAAGAGAAGCUCAAAAAGUAAGCGCAUUCUGAAAAACCAGGAGACCCUCCUCUGCAAAGCUCCAGGGUUUCCUUUGACUGCGUGUACUCACUGCGCUCGGGCUGGCGCGGAAACUCCUCGAGCACAGAACCCACCCACCGAAGCCUCCACCGCGCGGCUGCCGAGCCUGCACCCGCCGGUUCUCUCUGCUGCUGGGCCAGCGUGGCCAGCCUUUGCUUCCUGCUUGGACAAUUACCUGUGACUGGGCGGGAGAAGGGAGGGGUCUAGCACCUGUGACCCACAGGUCUGUGGCCUCGGUUCGACCUGACUGCCUGGCCAGCCAUUCCUUCCUGCGGGGAAGAUUACAGACAGACCGACGGGUGGGGGAGGAAGCGCUCUAAUAAAAGAGACCCAGACA